rnacentral:rRNA from 1 species
AUGGGACGUCCGUCGUCCUGCGGCGUGGGGCAGCCCAAGCUCCGCAAGGGGCUGUGGUCGCCCGAGGAGGACGAGAAGCUCUACAACCACAUCAUCCGGCACGGCGUCGGCUGCUGGAGCUCCGUCCCCAGGCUGGCCGGGCUGAACCGCUGCGGCAAGAGCUGCCGCCUCCGGUGGAUCAACUACCUCCGCCCCGACCUCAAGCGCGGCUGCUUCUCGCAGCAGGAGGAAGACCACAUCGUCGCGCUCCACCAGAUCCUCGGCAACAGGUGGUCACAGAUCGCGUCGCACCUGCCGGGCCGGACGGACAACGAAAUCAAGAACUUCUGGAACAGCUGCAUCAAGAAGAAGCUCCGGCAGCAGGGCAUCGACCCGGCCACGCACAAGCCCAUGGGCACCGCCGACACGGCCACGGCGGCAUUGCCGGACACAGAAGGGGAAGACAGUAAGCCCCUUACCGCGGCGGCCGACGGCAGCCUCGCUCCGAAGCAGUCGGCGGUGUUUGACCCGUUCCCGGUGUGCGCCGACUACGGCGCCGGGUUCGCCGACGACCUCGGCGCGGCCAACGCGGCGGCAUUGUACGGCCAGUUAUGCGGUGGAAAGGAGGGCGCGGACGAAGACGCCGGGUUCGGCGCCGCGGACUACAGCUGCGUGCUGGACGUCCCGGAGAACCUGGGCUACGGGGAGAGCUCCAGCAACAGCAGCAACCGGAGCUACGGCGGUGAGGUGGGCAGCAUGCUCGACGGCGAGGUGGGAAGCGUGCUCGAUGGCGAGGUGCUGUACUUGGCCAAGGCGGAGCCGGCCUUCGCGGAGAUGGAGCGGCAGCACGACGUGCUGCUGGAGUAUGAGUUCUCGCUGCCCUGCCAAGAGCAGAGCCUCCUAGCAAAUUUCGAGUUCAACUUGGAACACUACUUCUGA